GAUGAACGCUGGCGGCGUGCUUAACACAUGCAAGUCGAACGUGAGGGUGUAGCAAUAUGCCUGAAAGUGGCGAACGGGUGAGUAACACGUAGAUGACCUGCCCUGGAGUGGGGGAUAACCAUUGGAAACGGUGGCUAAUACCGCAUACAUCCAGAAGAUUGGGAAAUUUUCUGGGGAAAGCUCUGGUGCUCUGGGAGGGGUCUGCGUCCGAUUAGCUAGUUGGUGAGGUAAAGGCUCACCAAGGCGACGAUCGGUAGCUGGUCUGAGAGGACGAUCAGCCACACGGGAACUGAGACACGGUCCCGACUCCUACGGGGGGCAGCAGUGAGGAAUAUUGGGCAAUGGGCGAGAGCCUGACCCAGCAACGCCGCGUGGAGGAAGACGGCCUUCGGGUUGUAAACACCUUUUGACAGGGAAGAGAGAGGACGGUACCUGUCGAAUAAGUCACGGCUAACUACGUGCCAGCCGCCGCCGUAACAC
rnacentral:rRNA from 1 species